AGGAAACUGGAGGAAGAGCAUCAAUAGCUGGUGAAGGAAACAAAGCGUUCUUAAAAAGCCUAAAAUCAUAGAUUCUGGUAUUUGGCCAAAAGAGAGCUUCACAUUUUUGGCUUCAGUCCUUUGAAAGCAGACAUCAUCAUCAUCUAUAGCAUGAAGUAUUACUGCAUGAGCCCCUCUGACCACACACUGAUGUCAAAGCACAGCAGAAUGUGUAAAAUCAUAUGCAUUGUAUUCUCCAUGGAUUGUUUGAUCUGUUUUAUAUCUGCUAAGUUUCCCAACAUUGACAGAAAUGAAAAAAUAAUAAUAAUGAACUAUCACUUAUACUUCUGUUUUGUAAUUCGCUGAACUUCCUGUGAACUGUAGUGAGGGAAACUGGAUGACAACAAGAAAAGAUGUCUGAUGGACAGUGCUGGUUUAAUGUUAAGUAAAAGUUUUGCUUCUUGAUGAUGGCUGCUCUCUGUAAACUUCAUCCUCUUCUUGCUCCACUGCUCAUGUCAUCCUCUUUACUUACACCAACAUUAAUAAAUAUGAAUACUUAAUAA